rnacentral:rRNA from 1 species
UAUGUGAUCGUCUCUCGCAUAUCAAUAAGCGGAGGAAAAGAGACUAACAAGGAUUCCCCUAGUAACGGCGAGUGAAGCGGGAAGAGCUCAAAUUUGAAAUCUUAAAGGGUUUCCCUUUACGAAUUGUAGUUUAAAGAAGUGUUUUCUGUUGAGGUUUUGGUAAAAGUUCUUUGGAAUAGGACAUCAUAGAGGGUGAGAAUCCCGUAUUUGACCUUUACUUUCAACUUUGUGAUACACUUUCAAAGAGUCGGAUUGUUUGGGAAUGCAGUCCAAAAUGGGUGGUAAAUUUCAUCUAAAGCUAAAUAUUGGCGAGAGACCGAUAGCGAACAAGUACCGUGAGGGAAAGAUGAAAAGAACUUUGAAAAGAGAGUUAAACAGUACGUGAAAUUGUCAAAAGGGAAGCGUUUGACACCAGUGUUGUUUUUCUGAAAAUCAAUUAAAGAACUGUUUAUGCUAAGUUGUUUAGACUUUAUCAGCUAACUGUUUAGUUUUGAGCUUUUCUUUAAUGCACUUUUCAGUUAACAAGUCAACAUCAAUUUCUUUUGCUGUAAAAAAGCUUGAGGAAGGUGGCUUGAGAUUCGUCUUAAGUGUUUAUAGCCUCUUGCCUAUGCAGUCGGAGAGAUUGAGGUCUGCAGCGUAGAUCCUUCGGGGCUAAAUGCAUUUGUGCUAAGUUAUAGCAUUUUAUAGACAACUUGUUGACUAUGAUUUGUCUUGUAGCUUACUCGCUUAUGUUAUUUUACCUACGCUUAGGAUGUUGAUCUACAGAGCGAGAGU